GGCCACAGAGAUGCCCAGUUUCCUAUGAGGAA
rnacentral:piRNA from 1 species